AACGAGGCCGACCUGCGGCUGAGUUACCUGCGGAGGGAUCAUUUCUGAAUACAGGCUUGGGCACUGUGGGUAGGCUCUCGAGCCUGGCCCGGUCCCAAAGCCUGCACCCCUUCAAACCUGUGGGCCAGAGAUGUGGAUUGGUGUUCGCCCCCCAGGGGCGUCCACCGCUUCAAUGCAAACCAAAGCCCUUUUUGUCUGAGACUAUGGAAUAAAUUUAAAACUUUUAGCAACGGAUCUCAG
rnacentral:misc_RNA from 1 species